CCGUUUCUGAUUCUCGGUCAGGUACUUUUUAAUUUAUAUCACAACAUACACAAACACAUGUAUACCGACUGCAUAUGCUCGUUUUUAUACUUGAGAGAAACAUUCGUUGUCUGCAAUACGCUCAUGGUUUUGGAAUUGAGAAAGUGAAAUUUAGAGAUUUCGAGGAGGUGAUUUUAGUUGUUUAAUUCUUGUUAAGAUUUUUGGACAUUUUUCCAGGGCUGGCCGUUUUAAACUUAAAGCCCCAAUAAAAAGGAAAAUCAUGGAAAGAUUUUCAAAGAUUUGCAGCUUGCUAAAAUACAUGGAAACCAACCUGCGGAUUUGCGAGACCUUAUACCAACUUCAAGGGUUUGCCGUUUGCAAACUCUCUGUGUGCGAAAGUGUCGAAGCAACCCAGCUUGUGGAUUUCGUCGGUACUUUUGCAGUGGUAGACUAGUAGAGUAGUAGUUUUUUGGGAUUAAUUCCGGAUUGGAGUAGUUUUUAGGGAUUAAUUCCGGAUUGGAAGUGGUCUUAGGUCUAUGGAGUGGAGAAGAUGAUUGGACUGAAAUUGGAGAAGGCGGUUCGUUUGCCCCUUUUAUGUACUCAAAAUUUUCCUUUUUUUCCCUUUUUUAAGAGAGAGUCAAUUUUGGGCUAGAGGCCCCCUAAAAUAUGAGGCCAAGGCUCACCAGGGCCGGCCUUAAAUAAGAUUAUUGCUUUAUUUAUGUGAAAAAGAUUUUGGGACAUUUUUCCAGGCUAGCCAUUUUGAACUUAAAGCCCCAAUAAAAAAGAAAAUCAUGGGACAUUUUUCCAGGCUGGCCGUUUUGAACUUAAAGCCCCAAUAAAAAAGAAAAUCAUGGAAAGAUUUUUAAGGGUUUACAGUUUGCUAAAAUACAUGGAAACCAAUAUGCGGAUUUGCGGGACCUUAUAUCAGCUUCAAGGAUUUGUCGUUUGCGAACUCUUUGUGUGCGAAAAUGCUGAAGAAGCCAAACUUGUGGAUUCCGCCGAAACUUUUGCAGUGGUAGACUCUAUUUUUAGGGAUUAAUUCCGGAUUGGAAUGUGGCCUCUGUCUGUGGAGUGGAGAAGAUAAUUGAAAUGGAAUUGGAGAAGGCAGUUCGUUUACCUCUUUUAUGAGCCCAAAUUUUUCCCUUUUUUUCAAGAGAGGGGUGGUUUUGGACUAGAGACCUCCUAAAAAAUGAGGCCCAAUGCAGUGGCCUCACUUGCCUUGGGCGAAGCCCGCCCCUGUGUGCACACAUCAACAUUGCGUAACUUGGUUUUACAAAGCAUAUGUCAAAUAAAUCUCUUUGGACAACAAAUAAGAUUGUUCAUUAACACACACUGCACCUUUAUCAUGAAUUCUUACAAAACUGGUAGUGGUCGCUUGUGUCCCCUCCUGACACUUGACACACCUUCCUCAUAUUGUUGAGCACUUUACACUAGUUCGUCUCCUCGUUUUCUUAGGCCUAUCGGGUUGAGAAAAUAUUUCAUCAUGCCUUCAUGCUUUGUGUAAACCCUUGUAGCUGUGUUGAAAGACUUGGCUAUGUUCUUCCCACAAUUAUCCUUAGCGAAUAUUAGGUUCUAUAAAAUAUGACGUGCACAAAUUUCGUGCAUACACCUCAUGGACAGCGUGUUCGAUGUUUCCACGAUGAUCCAAAAUGAAACACAUUUCAUAUCUCUCGGUGUAUGCUUCCUUGUGUUGUCUAAUGAACCAAUCCCACGACCACGAGUCAUUGUUCUCGAAAUCUCCAACCCCAAAUGCCAGUAUAAAGAUUGAAUUGUUUGCAUCUUGUGUGCAUACAGUUAAUAGGGUAUCCUUAAAUUUUCUAGUUAAGAAAGUUGUAUCAAUCAUGACUACGGGCUUACAAUUACUCCACCCUUUAAUGGAUGCGCCUAAUGAUAUUAAUGCACGUUUUAAAUGUCCAUCGGUAUCUACUUCGAUUCUGGUCUUUGAACCUAUAUUUUUUUUUACUCUCUCUCUAUUAGAUACAUUAGUAAUCUACUGGAAGCGUCGUUUAGAUCACCAAAAUCUGAACCAAAGCAUGCUCUCGAGCCAUCCGUUCCUUUCAGCAACUUCUUGUCACGACAUAGUUGUUUAUCAGAUAGCAAAUCUACUCUUAUUUGUCUCACAACAAAGAAGUUUUCCAAGUAGUUGUAGGUCAGUUAUUUCUAUGCUGGAUACAAAUUCCUGAAUUGAAGGAAUUGUUGAAAAUUUCAGUCCCAGAACUUGAUCGGGUGAUGCAGCCUCAACCUCAAUACACACUGAUGAGCGUGGAAUUGCCAUAUAUCUGUCAGAUUUAGAAGCAUCUGCGAACGGGAGUACAGUCCACAACAACUCGUAGUGCAUAUGUCAUUAAGCCUGGCUCCUUCCUUUCCAGCUCCAUGUAGAAGGGUAAAGAGUCGUCGUUUGGACAACAUCAAUACUAAUGUCGAUAUCCAGGUAUUUGUAACCAGUUGGUAAGAGAAGUUCACAUAUUACGCAUUCCAUUUCCUGCAAACAGGAAAAUACAAUACUAAAUCAUAUCAUGUGGACCAG
rnacentral:lncRNA from 1 species